AACGAACGCUGGCGGCAUGCCUAAUACAUGCAAGUCGAACGAGAUCUUCGGAUCUAGUGGCGCACGGGUGCGUAACGCGUGGGAAUCUGCCCUUGGGUUCGGAAUAACUUCUGGAAACGGAAGCUAAUACCGGAUGAUGACGUAAGUCCAAAGAUUUAUCGCCCAAGGAUGAGCCCGCGUAGGAUUAGCUAGUUGGUGGGGUAAAGGCCCACCAAGGCGACGAUCCUUAGCUGGUCUGAGAGGAUGAUCAGCCACACUGGGACUGAGACACGGCCCAGAAUCCUACGGGAGGCAGCAGUAGGGAAUAUUGGACAAUGGGCGAAAGCCUGAUCCAGCAAUGCCGCGUGAGUGAUGAAGGCCUUAGGGUUGUAAAGCUCUUUUACCCGGGAUGAUAAUGACAGUACCGGGAGAAUAAGCUCCGGCUAACUCCGUGCCAGCCGCCGCCGUAACAC
rnacentral:rRNA from 1 species